CAUUAAGUGGCUGAAAGUAAGUAAUGGUCUCUUAAACCAAUUA
rnacentral:tRNA from 1 species